GAACGGAGUACUUCGGUACUUAGUGGCGGACGGGUGAGUAACGCGUGAGGAUCUGCCCUCAGGAGGGGGACAACGACUGGAAACGGUCGCUAAUACCCCAUAUGCCGAGAGGUGAAAUGUUUUUUCGCCUGAGGAUGAGCUCGCGUCAGAUUAGCUAGUUGGUGGGGUAACGGCCUACCAAGGCGACGAUCUGUAGCUGGUCUGAGAGGAUGAUCAGCCACACUGGGACUGAGACACGGCCCAGACUCCUACGGGAGGCAGCAGUGGGGAAUUUUCCGCAAUGGGCGAAAGCCUGACGGAGCAAGACCGCGUGAGGGAUGACGGCCUAAUGGUUGUAAACCUCUUUUCUCUGGGAAGAUAAUGACGGUACCAGAGGAAUAAGCCUCGGCUAACUCCGUGCCAGCAGCCGCGGUAAUACGGAGGAGGCAAGCGUUAUCCGGAAUUAUUGGGCGUAAAGCGUCCGUAGGUGGUUAAUCAAGUCAGCUGUUAAAGAGCGGAGCUUAACUCCGUUAGAGCGGUUGAAACUGAUUGACUAGAGUUUGGUAGGGGUCGAGGGAAUUCCCAGUGUAGCGGUGAAAUGCGUAGAUAUUGGGAAGAACACCGGUGGCGAAAGCGCUCGACUGGGCCUGAACUGACACUGAGGGACGAAAGCUAGGGGAGCGAAAGGGANUAGAUACCCCUGUAGUCCUAGCCGUAAACGAUGGAUACUAGGUGUUGCUCGUUAUCGACCCGAGCCGUGCCGAAGC
rnacentral:rRNA from 1 species